UACGGGGGGGGCAAGCGUUGUUCGGAAUUACUGGGCGUAAAGGGCUCGUAGGCGGCCAACUAAGUCCGACGUGAAAUCCCUCGGCUUAACCGGGGAACUGCGUCUGAUACUGGAUGGCUUGAGUUCGGGAGAGGGAUGCGGAAUUCCAGGUGUAGCGGUGAAAUGCGUAGAUAUCUGGAGGAACACCGGUGGCGAAGGCGGCAUCCUGGACCGACACUGACACUGAGGAGCGAAAGCCAGGGGAGCAAACGGG
rnacentral:rRNA from 1 species